rnacentral:rRNA from 1 species
UGGGGAAUAUUGCACAAUGGGCGAAAGCCUGAUGCAGCAACGCCGCGUGAGGGAUGAAGGCCUUCGGGUUGUAAACCUCUUUUAGCAGGGAAGAAGCGAAAGUGACGGUACCUGCAGAAAAAGCACCGGCUAACUCCGUGCCAGCAGCCGCGGUAAUCCGUAGGGUGCACGCGUUGUCCGGAAUUAUUGGGCGUAAAGCGCUCGUCGGCGGUACGUCGCGUCUGCUGUGAAAAUCCCAGGCUCAACCUU